UACGGAGGGUGCGAGCGUUGUCCGGAAUCACUGGGCGUAAAGGGCGCGUAGGUGGCGCGAGGAGUCUGUGGUGAAAGCCCGAGGCUCAACCUCGGGUCGGCCGCGGAUACUCUCGUGCUGGAGGGUGGUAGAGGCCAAUGGAAUUCCGGGUGUAGCGGUGGAAUGCGUAGAGAUCCGGAAGAACACCGGUGGCGAAGGCGGUUGGCUGG
rnacentral:rRNA from 1 species